UGAACGCUGGCGGCCGGCCUAACACAUGCACGUCGAACGGUAACAGGAAACAGCUUGCUGUUUCGCUGACGAGUGGCGGACGGGUGAGUAAUGUCUGGGAAACUGCCUGAUGGAGGGGGAUAACUACUGGAAACGGUAGCUAAUACCGCAUAACGUCGCAAGACCAAAGAGGGGGACCUUCGGGCCUCUUGCCAUCGGAUGUGCCCAGAUGGGAUUAGCUAGUAGGUGGGGUAACGGCUCACCUAGGCGACGAUCCCUAGCUGGUCUGAGAGGAUGACCAGCCACACUGGAACUGAGACACGGUCCAGACUCCUACGGGAGGCAGCAGUGGGGAAUAUUGCACAAUGGGCGCAAGCCUGAUGCAGCCAUGCCGCGUGUAUGAAGAAGGCCUUCGGGUUGUAAAGUACUUUCAGCGGGGAUGAAGGGAGUAAAGUUAAUACCUUUGCUCAUUGACGUUACCCGCAGAAGAAGCACCGGCUAACUCCGUG
rnacentral:rRNA from 1 species